AGCGAAGAAAAUGUACUGAGAAGUCAAAAGGAGAACUCCUCGACAUGGUCGACUCUUUUGGCUUUACCGGUUAGGCGAAGACUGAUCGGUGAUCGCCGGAGUUUCAAUCUCCUCAAAUCCGUUUCACUGCCAUUGUCUUCGUUCAACUAGUCUAAUUAAUGGCCAAAUCUCGAUCAGUUGUGGAGCUCACUACCCGCUACGAUCUCGGCGGCGUCGACAAGAUCCGAUCCCUAUGUCUCUCCCCUCACUCCGAUUCCCAAACCCUAGUCUACCUCGGCACUUUCUCCGGAUCCAUUCUUCUCCUCUCCCUCGACACUUCGACCAACAUCGUCGCGCGUCUCGGAACUGUAUCGCUGAGCGCUUCUCCAGUCGAGUCUAUCUUCGUGCUCGGCCAGGAAAGAGGCAAAGUUCUAGCACUCUGCAAUGGAUACUUGUUCUUGGUUGAUUCGCUUCUCUCUCAACCCGCUAAGAGAUUGGGUGGGGUGUUGAAAGGGAUCAAUGUUGUUGCUAGGAGAGUGAGGGGACGCGAGUCCUCCUCGAGUACUGACUUGUUGCUGUUGCCUUCCGAGGUUUCAGGUGAGUCUAGCUCGAGCAAGAAGUUUCUUCAGAUGAUUGGGGGUGGGAGUCGUGUGAGUGAUCUUAAAGGUAAGGAUCUUAGACGCGAGGGAGUUCUUCAUCAAGGUCGUUAUGUUUUCGCUGUUGCGAUUGGUGAGAGGAUGUUGCUGAUUGAGCUUCAGUGUGAUGAAGAGGACGGGAAAGGUGAUUCCUUUGUUGUGUUGAAGGAGAUUGUGGGGAUUGGUGGGGUAAAGACUUUGGUUUGGCUUGAUGAUUAUGUUGUUGCGGGGACUGAUAAAGGGUAUAGCUUGAUCUCGUGUGUUACUGGUCAAAGUGGGGUGAUAUUCACGUUGCCUGAUGUCUCUGAUCCGCCGCUGCUUAAAUUGCUUUGUAAAGAGUGGAAGGUGUUGUUGUUGGUGGACAAUGUUGGAGUUGUUGUGGACACGAAUGGUCAGCCUGUUGGUGGGAGCCUUGUGUUUCGUAGGAGGCCUGAUUCUGUUGGAGAAUUGUCUUUCUAUUUGGUCACUGUAGGGGAUGGGAAAAUGGAGUUACAUCAGAAGAAGUCGGGUGCUUGUGUUCAGUCAGUUAGUUUUGGUCCUGAAGGGUGUGGGCCUUCGGUUUUGGCGGUUGAUGAGGCAGGAGACGGGAACCUUUUGGCUGUUACUACCAUGUCAAAGGUUAUUUUUUAUCGGAGAGUGUCUUAUGAAGAACAGAUUAAAGACCUCUUGAGGAAAAAGAGAUACAGAGAAGCCAUCUCCUUGGUGGAGGAGCUUGACUCAGAGGGGGAAAUUUCGAAAGAGAUGCUUUCUUUUCUUCAUGCUCAGAUAGGGUAUCUACUACUAUUUGAUUUGCGCUUUGAGGAAGCAGUGAAUCAAUUUCUAAAGUCAGAAAGCAUGGAACCUUCUGAAGUUUUUCCUUUUAUCAUGCGAGAUCCUAAUCGAUGGUCUUUGCAGGUUCCGAGAAACAGAUACUGGGGGUUGCAUCCCCCUCCUGCUCCUCUUGAAGAUGUUGUAGAUAAUGGUUUGGCGGCCAUCCAGAGAGCCAUCUUCCUAAGAAAAGCGGGAAUGGACACUCCGGUUGACGAAGAGUUUUCCUCAAACCCUCCAAGUAGAGCUGAUUUAUUAGAGUCAGCAAUCAAAAACAUGACAAGGUACCUCGAGGUCUCACGUGAGAAGGACUUAAGUCACCCAGUAAGAGAGGGAAUAGACACGCUUCUAAUGCUUCUGUAUAGAGCCUUAAACCGUGUUGAAGAUAUGGAGAAUCUUGCAUCUUCUGUUAACAACUGCGUUGUGGAGGAGUUGGAGUCUCUUCUAAAUGAAUCUGAACAUCUGCGGACACUUGCAUUCCUAUAUGCAAGUAAGGGGAUGAGUGCAAAGGCUCUUGCUAUUUGGCGUCUCUUUGCGAAGAAUUAUUCAUCUGGUCUGUGGCAAGACUCAGAUGACUUGGUGCCUUAUUUACACGAAAACGAGCUCAUUAGGCUAUCUGGAAAAGAGGCUGCUGCUGCAGAAGCAGCGAGGAUUCUUGAGGAACCCUGUGAUCCAGAACUGGCAUUGCAGCAUCUUAGUUGGAUUUCAGAUAUAAACCCAUUGUUUGCUAUCCAAGUCUUGACGUCAGAUAAAAGGACAGAAGAGCUUUUGCCAGAGAAAGUGAUCCAAGCUAUUGAUCCCCAAAAAGUUGAAAUCAUACAGAGGUACCUCCAAUGGUUGAUUGAAGAUAGAGAUUAUAAUGACCCGCAGCUGCAUACAUCAUAUGCUCUCUCACUUGCCAAGUCAGCACUUGAGUGUGUUGAAGUUCAAAAUGGUAACCAAGAAACGGAUACUGGAAGCAGAGAAGCACAUGAUUGCAAUGUAGGAAAUAUUUCUCUGUUUGAAAUUGAUGUGCGGGAAAGAUUGCAGACCUUUUUGCAGUCCUCAGAUCUGUAUGACCCUGAAGAAAUAUUGAAUUUGAUUGAAGGAUCAGAACUGUGGUUGGAAAAGGCUAUACUUUACCGAAGGAUAGGACAGGAGACAGUGGUCCUUCAAAUUCUUGCUCUGAAGCUCGAGGAUUGUGCAGCUGCAGAGCAAUAUUGUGUAGAGAUUGGAAGACCAGAUGCAUUUAUGCAGUUACUUGAUAUGUACCUGGAUCCUCAAAAUGGCAAAGAGCCUAUGUUCAAAGCUGCUGUUCGUCUUCUCCACAACCAUGGGGAAUCACUUGAUCCUUUGCAAGUUUUGGAAAAAUUGUCUCCUGACAUGCCCUUAAAACUGGCUUCAGAUACAAUUUUGAGAAUGCUGAGGGCUCGGGUUCAUCAUCAUCGUCAAGGCCAAUCAAUUGCUACAGAUCGUACACAAUGUCUCUCGCGCAUUAGAUGUGGAUUCAAGGUUGGCAAGAUUAGAAGAAAGAUCACGUCACGUGCAGAUAAACGAUGAGAGCCUCUGUGAUUCUUGCUUCGCCCGCCUAGGAACUAAGCUAUUUGCUAUGUACCCUGAUGAUACCAUUGUGUGUUACAAGUGUUACAGACGCCUGGGUGAAUCAAAGUCAGUAACGGGCCGUGACUUCAAGCGAGAUGUUCUGAUAAAACCCGGUUGGUUAGUGAACCGGUAGCUGAAGAAGCCCUGUUGUUUAAAAGUUGACCUCUAAUCUCUCACAAACACGUAGAAGCCUGUACAGUACAGAUACUAAAGAACAACAUAAGGAGAUAUGAAGUCGAUCUCGACAUAGCUUCAUGAAGUUCAUCUCUAGGCUUCAAAGGACUCUUCAUGCAAUGAUUAGUGUAGUGUGUGGUAGACGUUGGAGGCCAAUGGAGUAGUUCUGUAGGGGCAUUUUUGCCUUUGUGACAGUUAAAAACGGGCAAAUAAUUUUAUAUAAUACCUUGUUGUUACUUUCUUCUCAA